GUAGGAGUGCACUGAAUUGAGAUGUUGAGCCUUCACUGUGGCACAGGACACCUAAGCUCUCUACCCCAACCCAAGCUGGGCAUGGCUGAGCCUGGGCGUGGGCUUAGGCAGAAAAUGCUCUGAGGACAAGCUAGCCCAGGGCUGGAAGCCUUAGGCUCCAGAUGGGGUCACCCCAGCUGGGGCCAGGCAGCUUCCAGUGGCCUCACAUCCUUCCUGGGCCACUAAGUAAGGACCUCUAUUCUUGCCUCCCUGUCACCUUCACAGUUGUGGGAGGCCUUAACCUUCUCUGAUCUCCCUAUAUCCCCUCUCAGCCCUCUUCUCACUGUUGCCCAAGUGGCUGUGUGUCUUAGUUUGAGCUCCCUCAAAACCAAUCUCUGAAACAAGGAUUGGGGUACAGGUAGUUUAUUUGGGAGGAGACCCCCCAGGAAGUAGGCAAGAGGGGACAGUGGGAGAACAAGUCAAGGGGGAGAAAAUCCAGUAAAGGGUACAUUAAUGAAGAGUACUGGGGCUCAGUCAUGCCGGGAACCAUCUGAGAUACUGAGGCCGUGCCUCUGAAUGGCCCCAGUGAAGAAAUGAAAGGCGGGGGCAUUUAUCCAUUGACUCCCAUCCCCCUCGAUCAUGGGCAUCAGAAGGCCGCAGCCCUCUCCAGGCAGGAAAAGAUGUGCCCAUCAGUAGUCGAGAACUGUCCUUCCACAGUGCCAUUUGGCUGAUACCUGGAGUGGUGGCAGAGCCCUCUAGAGGAGGCUCAUUUGGAUAAGAGGAGAGGCAAAACAGAAGAUGCCUGAAAACACUGGACUAACAACUACUGGGAAUCACAUGUGGUCAAAAUCGCUCUGCACCAGGGGCCUGCAGACGCUCUGCCACACUAGGUGUUCUCUGUGGUCACCUCCAAGAUGAACUACCCACACUGGAAUCCUGGUCUCAGGAUCUGCCUCUGAGGAACCCAGACCAAGGCAGGCUACCAUACAGUCAAAAGUAUGGCUGAAAAAAAAAUCAACUGUCUCCCUUUUCCUAGAGGUUGUUGCAGAUUUAUGAGACCAUAUUCUUAAAGCCCGGUUAGGAGCAGACACCAGCUUUAUCCAAAACCCAUAAAAUGUGCUACAUCCCAUACAAAAUGUACUGUGCGGCCAUUUUUAAAAAUGAGGAAGAUCUCAGUAUGUUGAUAUGGAGCCAUAGCCAAGAUAUAUUGCAUAGUGAAGAAAGCAAGUGACAGAACAGCGUAUAAGAUGCCACCGUUUGUGGAUUUUAG
rnacentral:lncRNA from 1 species